rnacentral:lncRNA from 1 species
CCAAUUAUAUCUUAUAUAUAUAUAUAUAAUUAUCUGGAGUCUCACAUUCUUCCCCUUUUUAAGCCCUAACGUUCUCGUUGGGCUCAGACUCACCAAUAUUAGGUGAUGUGAGACUCAUCUUGCUAGCCUUAACUGACCUUGUGGGGGAGCAGCGUUCUACCCACAACAGUCAUCAGCAUAAUAGCCUAGCCAUCCUCACUAUAUAACCUGGCUCAGCCAAGACUUAUCUCACACUUCCAACUGAUAAUUUACUCUUAUAACAAUUGUGACAUGCCAACUUCCCAGAGUGUUGUUACCUAUCUUAGGACUACUCUAGUCCUAACAGCUUAACUCUCUUAACCUCUUAGACCUAUCCACGACCCAAAAUGCUAUAACUGAGUAAAGAAACUUACAACCAACAUGCAAUGUGAAAUUCGUCUCGCUAG